rnacentral:rRNA from 1 species
CACGUAGGGGGCAAGCGUUGUCCGGAUUUACUGGGCGUAAAGAGCUCGUAGGCGGUUUGUCGCGUCUGCUGUGAAAACGCGGGGCUCAACUCCGCGCCUGCAGUGGGUACGGGCAGACUAGAGUGCAGUAGGGGAGACUGGAAUUCCUGGUGUAGCGGUGGAAUGCGCAGAUAUCAGGAGGAACACCCGUGGCGAAGGCGGCUCUCUGGGACGGUACUGACGCUGAGACGCGAAAGCGUGGGGAGCGAACAGG